ACGUACAUAUUGAAUUCAGUUCAAUGGCGAAAUACCAAAAUCUCAACAAUUUAAUGAAAUUCGCGGUAUAGGCGGCGGCUAAAUGGAGGACGCAAGGGAAAUGCGACAAAGAAGGACGAACGGCCAAUGAGACUCCUUCAUAAGCCCCUCUCUCGUAAUUUCAAAAUCGUAACGACGACGAGCACCGAGACGCCUCUGCUUUGUGAGAUUCCAUCCGAUGAACGGCGAUUUCUCGCGUUUCGUGGCGGCUUUCGCCGUCUUCUUCCUCCUCUCCCAUGUCGUUCUCAGCGAGGACUGCAGCAGAACCUGCAUUGCAACGAAUUGCAACAAUUUCGCCAUUCGGUAUGGGAAGUAUUGCGGGAUUGGAUACUUUGGAUGUCCUGGAGAAGCACCCUGCGAUGAUCUUGACUCUUGCUGCAUGGUUCAUGAUAACUGUGUAACUGUAAAAGGUAUGACGUAUAUCGCGUGCCAUAAGCAAUUCAAGCGUUGUGUAAACCGACUGAGCAGAGCAAUAAAAAGUUCUGGUAACAAAAAGGUCGGGUUUUCCCCUGCAUGCCCUUAUUCAGUAGUGAUUCCCACAGUGUAUCAGGGAAUGGAUCUCGGCAUCUUCUUCAGUGGCAUAGGUAAUAUAGUGCCGAAGUUGCCAGGGACCGAAGGAGUGGCGGUGGAGGCGGAUCUGUCGAAGAGCGGAGUGGACAUAAGGACAGGACUGGGAACAACAGGCAGUUUGAAUGUUAGCCUUGACACACAUGACGGUCGUCCUAAAGCCGUUGCUUCUCUCUCCACCAACUCUUCUUCCUCUGUUCCAAACGAUGGCGGAGGGGAGCGAAAGGAAUAGCAGCAUAAAGAGCGAGAUUGGUAGUCGAAAGCCAAUAAUGACGUGCAAAGCCAUCCGAUCCAAAGCCAUCAAUGCCGUGAUCGUCGAUGUCUAAAGGGAGCGGUAUUGUUAGAAUAUCGCACCGAUCAUAGAAAAUGUGAGCUGAGGAUGUAACUCCAACACGGCAGUAACUUAACCAACAGACGUAGGCUGACACGGAAACACACACGCCCCUUUGCAUUCGAUUUUCCUUUUGUACAGUAUCCAGAGUUGAGCGUUUUGAUAAAAAUAUAUACAUACCAUCAGACAAAAGUUGUACGAUAUAUAUAUAUAUAUAUAUGGAUAUAACCAUAUACAUCUGACAAAUAAUUGUCAUUUUCAUUGACCAAAACAAAUAUAUAUAUAUAUAUACACGUGUCUAGAAGCCCAAGAAUUCGUCACCUUUUUGUCAAAAUACCCCUUUUUUUUCAGUUUUCCUAUUUGUUUACGAGUCAAUUGUAUCAUUUUUUGUUUUAUUUUUACUAUUUUUUAAUAAAUCAAAAGGUCUGAAAUGGACAUUUUCUCGA